rnacentral:rRNA from 1 species
GACGAACCGUGCGAACGUUGUUCGGAAUCACUGGGCUUAAAGGGCGCGUAGGCGGGCUCGCAAGUCUGUGGUGAAAUCCCCCGGCUCAACCGGGGAACGGCCGCGGAUACUGCGGGCCUCGAGCGGGGUAGGGGCGUGCGGAACGCUGGGUGGAGCGGUGAAAUGCGUUGAUAUCCAGCGGAACUCCGGUGGCGAAGGCGGCACGCUGGACCCCUCCUGACGCUGAGGCGCGAAAGCCAGGGGAGCGAACGGG